UUGUUACUCCCUCCGUCCGAAAAUACUUGUCAUCAAAAUGGAUAAAAAGGGAUGUAUCUAGAACUAAAAUACGUCUAGAUACAUCCCCUUUUGUCCAUUUCGAUGACAAGUAUUUCCGGACGGAGGGAGUACAUG
rfam:Triticum aestivum genome assembly, contig: Triticum_aestivum_CS42_TGACv1_scaffold_094197_2AL